rnacentral:rRNA from 1 species
AAAGGGCGCGUAGGCGGCGUUUUAAGUCGGGGGUGAAAGCCUGUGGCUCAACCACAGAAUGGCCUUCGAUACUGGGACGCUUGAGUAUGUAGAGGUUGGUGGAACUGCGAGUGUAGAGGUGAAAUUCGUAGAUAUUCGCAAGAACACCGGUGGCGAAGGCGGCCAACUGGACCAUUACUGACGCUGAGGUCGCGAAAGCGUGGGGAGCAAACAGGAUUAGAUACCCCUGU